AUCACAAAUUAUGAAUGACAAAUGACUUAAUGCUGAAAUCUGACAUUGCAUCAUGAUAUGCCAUGUGU
ensembl:snoRNA SNORD82 Small nucleolar RNA SNORD82